GAUGAACGCUGGCGGCGUGCCUAAUACAUGCAAGUCGAGCGAAUGGAUUAAGAGCUUACUCUUAUGAAGUUAGCGGCGGACGGGUGAGUAACACGUGGGUAACCUGCCCAUAAGACUGGGAUAACUCCGGGAAACCGGGGCUAAUACCGGAUAACAUUUUGAACCGCAUGGUUCGAAAUUGAAAGGCGGCUUCGGCUGUCACUUAUGGAUGGACCAGCGUCGCAUUAGCUAGUUGGUGAGGUAACGGCUCACCAAGGCAACGAUGCGUAGCCGACCUGAGAGGGUGAUCGGCCACACUGGGACUGAGACACGGCCCAGACUCCUACGGGAGGCAGCAGUAGGGAAUCUUCCGCAAUGGACGAAGGUCUGACGGAGCAACGCCGCGUGAGUGAUGAAGGCUUUCGGGUCGUAAAACUCUGUUGUUAGGGAAGAACAAGUGCUAGUUGAAUAAGCUGGCACCUUGACGGUACCUAACCAGAAAGCCACGGCUAACUACGUGCCAGCCGCCGCAGUAA
rnacentral:rRNA from 1 species